UAAUCUCCACGCAGUGCUUUCCUUCCCACCUGCUCCGCCCCGAUCGUCGCUUCCAGGGUUUCGACUGCUCGCCGGCGACGACGAGGGUGGGCAUUGCGGCGAGGGCCACCCGACCUUGUUCCUCGGAUCUGGUGCUUCUCUAGGUUCAGAUUGUAACUCGAGCAUGGGGGCGGGGAGUGCUUGCGGUCCAAGAUGUACCGCGAGCGCAGGGUUUGGUCGAUCGAGGCCAAGCAUGGCGGCACCGCCCUAGCCAGCCGUAAAUCUCUUCGAGUUCUACCAAGCUGACGACGUCAAUACGCCAUUCCCAACUGCCGCAAACCCAAGCCCGCCAAGCUCAGGUCCAAAUACCCUUCUUUAUCCCCGUGCUCUUUUGAUUUCUGCGGCGAUUUCCCUGUCUUGGUCUAAGGGUUGAUGGUUUUCGUUUCGGGGUUCGGGAAAAGGUUCGUCUUUUUGAAGCAGCUUCCGUCGGGAUUGUUUGCAGCGCUGAGCGUUUGCACAUUUAAGAUUUUUCUUCCAAAAGAGUGCCAUUUCAAUAGCCUCUGCAGGGAAGUUAAUACUCGGAAAUGGUUGAUAGACGGCAGGUGUUCUGUUGCUUAAGCUUGUCAAAGAUACAGUGUUUUAGUAUAUUUUGGUAUACAAAUUCAAAGUUCCUGAGAUUGAUGGUUGUGUUUUUCUUCAAUUGCCAAGUUGUCUGUUGGUACUACUUCAUUCUAUCUUCUCCUGCUGCUACUGCUGGUGGCCGUUCGAGAUCAAUGCAGUCCAUCUACGUUGCUCAAAUAAGGUUUAUAUCAUUGUAACAUCCACCAAGAUUCUGAUUUCUGGAGUUGAUGUUGUGAAGUUU